UCUACAGUUAACUUUGAUGUCAAUGGCAUCAAUUGUUUGGCUGGGAGUAAGUGGAUCAACUUUGUUUUAUAUCCAUUAACUUUUAUACUUUUAUGGGAAGAGACAAAUUGUUUUAAGCGAAGAGAUCAGUUGAAUCAUUGUAGAACCAGAUAUCUAAUCUGUAUUAGUGAUAUGGGUUUUUGACAUGGGAAAACGGUUUUUGUUAAAUCUUGUUUUAGUGAAGUUUCUUAUUUUUCUGGAAGGAAUUUUAAUUCCAAAUGUCAGUGUGGUUCAUUUCCUUUUAUUAGUUUUUUGGUAAUUUUAAUCAUGCUCAGUUAUUCUUUUCACGUUUGCAUAAAAUUGCUCUAUUUUAUGAAGUAUUCUUUUUGGUUUGGAUCUUGAUUUUACAUCAAUUGUUG
rnacentral:misc_RNA from 1 species